GAUGAAGAACGUAGCGAAAUGCGAUACUUGGUGUGAAUUGCAGAAUCCCGUGAACCAUCGAGUCUUUGAACGCAAGUUGCGCCCGAAGCCAUUAGGCCGAGGGCACGCCUGCCUGGGUGUCACACACCGUUACCCUCGCGCCAACGUCCAUCGUUGGCCGCGGCGCGGGGCGUGCGCUGACCUCCCGCGAGCGGGGUCUCGUGGUUGGUUGAAAAUCGAGUUCGCGGUCGAGGGUGCCGUGAUGAAAUGGUGGAUGGGCGACGCCCGAGGCCAAUCACGCGCGACUCUGUCCGGCUGGGACUCCUGGACCCCUUCGGCGUCUCCGGACGCUCUUUGGCGAGACCUCAGGUCAGGCGGGGCUACCCGCUGAGUUUAAGCAUAUCAAUAAGCGGAGGA
rnacentral:misc_RNA from 1 species